rnacentral:rRNA from 1 species
GCUUGUCUCAAAGAUUAAGCCAUGCAUGUCUAAGUAUAAGCAAUCAUACUGUGAAACUGCGAAUGGCUCAUUAAAUCAGUUAUCGUUUAUUUGAUAGUACCUUUACCUGGAUAACCGUGGUAAUUCUAGAGCUAAUACAUGCUAAAAAUCCCGACUUCGGAAGGGAUGUAUUUAUUAGAUGGAAACCAAUGCAGGGCAACCUGGAAUAUGGUGAUUCAUAAUAACUCGCGGAUCGGUUUACCGAUGCAUCAUUCAAGUUUCUGCCCUAUCAGCUUUGGAUGGUAGGGUAUUGGCCUACCAUGGCUUUAACGGGUAACGGAGAAUUAGGGUUCGAUUCCGGAGAGGGAGCCUGAGAAAUGGCUACCACAUCCAAGGAAGGCAGCAGG